CGGAUCGCAGGCUGCAACCCGCCUGCGUGAAGUCGGAAUCGCUAGUAAUCGCGGAUCGGCAUGCCGCGGUGAAUACGUUCCCGGGCCUUGUACACACCGCCCGUCACACCAUGAGAGUCGGGAACACCCGAAGCCCGUAGCCUAACAGCAAUGAGGGCGCGGUCGAAGGUGGGUUCGAUAAUUGGGGUGAAGUCGUAACAAGGUAUC
rnacentral:rRNA from 1 species